rnacentral:rRNA from 1 species
UACAGAGGUCCCGAGCGUUGUUCGGAUUCACUGGGCGUAAAGGGUGCGUAGGUGGCUUGGAAAGUUUGAUGUGAAAGCUCAGGGCUUAACCCUGAAAUGGCAUUGAAUACUGCUGAGCUGGAGGUUUGGAGGGGGGACUGGAAUUCUUGGUGUAGCAGUGAAAUGCGUAGAUAUCAAGAGGAACACCAGUGGCGAAGGCGAGUCCCUGGACAACACCUGACACUGAGGCACGAAAGCCAGGGGAGCAAACGGG